ACGCUCGACACCUACGGGAGGCAGCAGUGGGGAAUAUUGCACAAUGGGGGAAACCCUGAUGCAGCGACGCCGCGUGAGCGAAGAAGUAUUUCGGUAUGUAAAGCUCUAUCAGCAGGGAAGAUAAUGACGGUACCUGACUAAGAAGCUCCGGCUAAAUACGUUCCAGCAGCCGCGGUAAUCUGAGCGGGCUGGCAAGGC
rnacentral:rRNA from 1 species